GACGAACGCUGGCGGCGUGCCUAAUACAUGCAAGUAGAACGCUGAUGGAGGAGCUUGCUUCUCUGGAUGAGUUGCGAACGGGUGAGUAACGCGUAGGUAACCUGCCUGGUAGCGGGGGAUAACUAUUGGAAACGAUAGCUAAUACCGCAUAAUAGUAGAUGUUGCAUGACAUUUGCUUAAAAGGUGCAAUUGCAUCACUACCAGAUGGACCUGCGUUGUAUUAGCUAGUUGGUGAGGUAACGGCUCACCAAGGCAACGAUACAUAGCCGACCUGAGAGGGUGAUCGGCCACACUGGGACUGAGACACGGCCCAGACUCCUACGGGAGGCAGCAGUAGGGAAUCUUCGGCAAUGGACGGAAGUCUGACCGAGCAACGCCGCGUGAGUGAAGAAGGUUUUCGGAUCGUAAAGCUCUGUUGUAAGAGAAGAACGAGUGUGAGAGUGGAAAGUUCACACUGUGACGGUAUCUGACCAGAAAGGGACGGCUAACUACGU
rnacentral:rRNA from 1 species